rnacentral:rRNA from 1 species
UACGGGGGGAGCAAGCGUUGUUCGGAUUUACUGGGCGUAAAGGGCGCGUAGGCGGUCGUGACAAGUCACUUGUGAAAUCUCCGGGCUUAACUCGGAACGGUCAAGUGAUACUGUCGGACUAGAGUACAGAAGGGGCAACUGGAAUUCUCGGUGUAGCGGUGAAAAUGCGUAGAUAUCGAGAGGAACACCUGCGGCGAAGGCGGGUUGCUGGGCUGAUACUGACGCUGAGGCGCGAAAGCCAGGGGAGCGAACGGG